CCGCACCCUCUCCCUCCAUCCAUUCUUCAGCCCCAGCCCUAAUCCCACCCCAUGCCCACCGUCUCCGCCGCCUCGCCACCCCAUCUUCCCCCUCGCCCCGCGCCUGCCGCCGCGCGCCGCCCUCCCCUGCGACAAGCCUGCCACCGCCGCCCCUCUUUCCUCCCCUGCGCCAAGCCUGCCGCCGCCGCCAAGCCUGGUGACAAGGACCCUGCCCGGGUCCGCGAGCUCGGCCAGCUAGGGGUCGGCGUCGUCGGCGCCGGCGCCGGGGAAGGGGCAGAUAUGGCCGCGGAGCCAGAGGAGGACCGCGUCCGCGUCGUCAAUGGCGGCUGGCAGAUACGGAAGCCGUCGUCGUCCCAUCCCAUCCUCGCCCGCGCCUCGCCUCCUCCCUCCCCCGGCCGUGCCUCCUACGUCCGCCGCCACGCCUGGCCGCCUCCAUCUUCGCGUCGUCUGGACAGCCCAGCCCCGACGGGCUCAGCUCGACACCGGUGACGAAGGGCAUCAGCGGCACGAACCGGCGGAGCCGCAGGAGGUGGAGCGCGGCCGGCGUGAAGGAGAAGCGGACGUUGAGGUGGUGCGCAAGGACGCCGCCCGCCGACUCCACGGUGACGAAGACCCGGCCCGUGGAGGUGGAAGAGGUCGGGAACAAGAUGCAGUGGCAGAUGCGCCUCCACGCGGCGGCGGCGGAGGAAAACGACACCAACCUCCCGCUCCAGGCCCUCUUCGACAGCUACCGCCGCCUACCUCCCGCUGAGAUUUUCCGUCCAUACCUAAGGAUGCCUUCCGCGGGAGGGUGGCCAAGCUCUGCGAUGCCGGCCUUGGAUGCUGGCUUGCACCUGCAUUUGAGGACGGAGCCAAGGUACUCAAGUGGAUCACCAGGCAGGGGAAUCUUGCCAUGAUGACCGAGUUCAGGUCAGGGGUGAUGUGGGCACGUUUGCUGCACUUCGUUUUACGGGUAGGCGAUUUGAGAUGGACUGGACUCCUCAUAUGAUGAAUUUGGAAUAAUGGAGAAGAAGAAAUAAGUUACCAGGAGUGACACACUGAGCCCAUGAGGUGGAUGAGGAGAUGAAGGUCAGGCAGAUGAGGAAGGAGCACGUGCCAAGAGCACAUCUUAUGCUAGAUUGUGCAUAAAAGGUCGUAAGUAUGGAGUCCUCUUGUCUCCUCUUUUAAUCUGAUUUGUUUUGCAUGAUCAGUUAUAUAACAGUUAUAGCUACCUAUUGUGAACAUCUACCAUAUUACUAUGAUCAAUUCGAGACAUGCAGCUGUUAUUUUGAAAAUCCAAAUUAGUUUAGCUGAAAAAUCUGCUUUGAAGUGCAGAGCUAGUGAAGCCUUUGACAAUUCCUAGGGAGCCGAGACUCACCCUGGGAGCCAAGCAUGGAUAUAUCAGUUCAGAUUUAAUUACUUUUGUUUGCCGUAUUGAUAAACUACAACUCUAGAUGGAUGAUUACUAAAGCCAGGGAAAUAACAUGAUACAAAUUUAACUUAUAAAUUCGUUUCACAUGUAAAGCUAUCCAAUGAAGUUAUGCAGUAUGGAUCAGCUGCGUGCAAGUAAAGAGGAGUCCAUAACAUUUGGUACUCAUAAUUUGACUAAACCUGACUAUUUCUGUUUUAUUUUCUGUUUACUUCUGCAGCAAAUAGCCACAUCACAUCUAAAUAUUAUGGUCAUGGGAAUGUGUAAAAGAAAAGUUUUCAGCUUGACUACUGGAAAAAAGCUUCUUCCUGUGUCACUUGUAUACAAAAUGCAAAUAUGGGAUUUGCUAAAGCAUACUUGAAAGGGGUAUUGGUGGCUGGUAUACUGCAUUCGAGAUACAGGUGAGACCAAGCUGCACUCUAAUCUAAUGCAGACCAAGUUGUACUCUAAUCUAACGAAGACCAAGCUGUAGUAUUAACAUAGUUGAGGCCAAGGUCAUACAUAUCCUUCCCCCUGGUCAUCCCCUCUCAAUGGGUGAUCGAUUGGUGCCAUGCGUAAGAAAUAACCAAGUGAUCUCCACUAAUCCCCACCCCUCUUUCGAUUUGGUUGAUACUGGAUGCAAAUCUCAUCAUGAGAUUUGUUGGUGGAUAUUAUUUUCAUGUAAUAAUCUUGUCCCUUAUGCUUUUGGACAUGUCCCUUAAUCUUGUCCCAAUUGAAGAAAAGCUCAUCCAACACCGGCUAAGAUGGUUUGGACAUGUCCAACGGAGACCUCCGGAGGCACCACUACGUAGUGGAACCCUAAGGUGGGACAGUAAUGUGAAGAGAGGCAGAGGAAGACCAAAAUUGACAUUGGAAGAGGCAAUAAAAGGAGAUUUGAAGGGAUGGAAUAUACCCAAAGAUUUAUCCAUGGAUAGGAGUGCUUGGAAAACAGCUAUUCAUGUGCCUGAACCCUGAUUUGUGGCUCUUGUUGGGUUUCAACUCUAGACCCCAACUUGCUUGGGACUGAAAGGCUAUGUUGUCAUUGUUGUGAAUAAUCUUGUCCCUUAUGCUUAUCUUAUUAUUGAUCAGGACAAAGUACGUGGCCUUCCAUGUGUUUCUUGAUAAUGUCUCAUAAAAAAAUGACUUCUUGGUUCUCACUGUUAUUUCAGAUAGGCCUCACUCAGGAUAUGGUGCUACCAUUAAUGGUCAAGAUAAGAUGGAAAGGAUUGAUUGGGCAGCUUAUAUCUUUCUCGAUAGGCAAUGGAUAUGAAAUUCUCGCAUAGCAGUGGUAUGCGACAAGGCUGGUGAUUGGUGACUCCAUUGUUGUUGCAAUGUUGCUGAUGAGCCAUUUCAACUACAUACAUACUAAGAAAGCAGAGGAAGAUGAUGUGGCCAUUGAGUUUGCUGUCUACGUGAAAUCAUGUGAUGUGGUCAUUAGCAUGUUGUAUAUCCAAAUUGUUGUUUGGAGUAAUCAUCUUUGUCGCAGUCUGAUAAUAUUAUGUAUUUAUCUAUGACACGUGCAAUUGAACAUGAAUCUUAAUUAUGUUUCAUUCUUUUCUUGGGACCUAA